UACAGAGGGUGCGAGCGUUGUUCGGAAUUAUUGGGCGUAAAGCGCUUGUAGGCGGCACGUCAAGUCGCGUGUGAAAUCCCCAGGCUUAACCUGGGAAGUGCGCGCGAAACUGACGAGCUUGAGUGCCGGAGAGGGUCGCGGAAUUCCCGGUGUAGAGGUGAAAUUCGUAGAUAUCGGGAGGAACACCAGUGGCGAAGGCGGCGACCUGGACGGACACUGACGCUGAGACGCGAAAGCGUGGGGAGCGAACAGG
rnacentral:rRNA from 1 species